rnacentral:lncRNA from 1 species
UCCGCCCCCGCGGUGGGAAAAGUGGGCGCCGGCGGCUGCUUCCCAGCCCUGCUGAACCGAAAGUUCUGGGUUUCAGCGGGAGAUGGGGGCGCGCCACCGCGACCAGGUGCAGGAGAGGAGGCCACUUCGCACAGAAUCAGCAACUGUCCAAUGGUCUGGCCCGCACAGCAGGAGUUGUGAGGUUCCCACGUGGCUGGGUACAAGGGGAACGUUCCAAAGCCCGUUGGUUGGUCUGUUGGAAUGUGGGGGCGGGUGGGGCUUCUGGACUGGGAAGUGCUGCGCACCUUCCCUCAUCUGCUGAGCGAUCUGGCUUCACUGCUUCAUGCUACACACCCGACAGCUGAAUAGUUUUCUCCAAAUCUCUUAUUUCCCGACUCCUUGGCCACCAUGUGUGAAGCUGAAGAUCAGACCAAAAGGGGAAGGGGUUAAAAUAUAAUAUCUGGGGUUCGACCAUUAAAAAGUUUAAAUUUACAGAUUGAACAGGAGAAUCUGGAACCAGGAGUGAGCAGAGCUGGCCCCAGGCCUUGGUGGCUGUGUACUAGUUCUGUGACCUGCAAUCAGUCACUUAACUUCUGUGAGCUCCUCUCUUUCCGUCUGUAAAAAAGGAAUAUGUACUACCCACUUCCUGAGUAGAUGUUGAAGAUGUUGUAAAAGGUUCGAGUCAACCAAUUAAAAGCAAUAGAUCACAUGAAGAUGAGUAUAUCUUCUGUUUGUUGGGACAUAAUCCAGAGAGGAUCUUUCUCCCCAGAUAUUAUGGGAUGGCCACAUUUUACAGCUGAGAGUGACUUUUGGCCAGAAGCCAACCUCAUCUGCUUGUGACAAAGCCUCCCUAGCAUGGCCGCCUACUUCCUCAAAGCCAGCCAGUGAGAACACCUGAUACUAUGA